rnacentral:tRNA from 1 species
GGGCCCAUAGCUCAGCUGGUAGAGCACCGUGCUGAUAACGCGGGGGUAAGUGGUUCAAGUCCACUUGGGCCCA